AACCAAGUCUUCAAAUGUCCAGGGAUAUUAUACGCAAAGUCGCAAACUCAAUGAACUAAAAACAAUAUUGAAAAAGAAUCAAACAAUCGUGAAAAUUGUGGAUUGAUACAAAAAAUGUGGGAAAGAUUUAGUAGUUGAGAGCGGAGAGAAAAACCGCAACAACUGUGGAUCUAUCCCAACGGUUGUCUGGCCGCUUACUGAAUUAACAGCUAUUCCUUUACGCAUCCUCGAAAAUGGCCAUGCCAUCAGAACGAGGCAUGUCCUUCGAUACAAGGUGCAAUAAACAACAACAACUCAAUAACACAAACAAACUCAAGUAUUCAAAAAUGAGAUUCUUAAUGAGAACAAGUAUGUAGGAUAGAUUUAGUAGCUGAAAGCAGAGGAAUCAAUCCGCUUCACCUGUGGAUCUAUCCCGACGGUUGUCUGGCCGCUUGCUGAUUUAACAGCUCUCUCUUUCUGCACUUUUGCAUUAAAGACUAUGUCACUGUAAUUUGACAUAGCCUUCGAUACAUAGUGCAAUUUUCUCAUCAAUCUCUUAACCCCAAUCACACAAAGCUCAACACC
rnacentral:sRNA from 1 species